rnacentral:hammerhead_ribozyme from 1 species
GCACUGCUGAGGAGUCCCAUACUAGGACGAAAUGGUCAUCCAAUAC